UCUAGAUUCUGGGACGACCUUUCGUUUUUCUACGACUGUCAUGUUCAGGAAUGUUGGAUACGUUUGAAGGCGGUGCCUAUGUUGACAUACAGGACAUACAGGUGUUGUCUGAUCAGCGUUACGGUCGGACUGUUUCGGUGCAAAUUGUGUUGUGAAGCUUGAAAUUCUUGGAGCGUUUAUAUUUGAGUCAGAGUAUCUUUUCUUUCGGAUGACAUCGGUUUAUUCAACUCUUUCAAA